CUUCAGGUUGUAUUUGUAAAAUCAAAAGAAAUCACUUCAGCUUCUUCGUUUCAUCGUUUCAGGUUGCAAUAUCGCUUAUCAAAAUCGCUUCAGGUUGCUUCAGGUUGCAAUCGCUUCUCAAAAUCACUUCAGGUUAAAAUCGUUUCUCAAAAUCACUUCAGGUUGAAAUCUUUUCAUCGUAUUUCUUUUCAAUGCCCUAAUUUCAAUCGUUUCUCAUUGCUUCGAGGUUCCAGGUUUGAAAGGAAAUCGAUUGAGAAAGAAAUCAUCAAGGAAAUCGUUUCUCUUUUUGAUCAAUUGCUUGAUUUGUUCUUUUUGCCUUAUAUAGAUUUUUAUAUACAAUGUUUGAUGUAUGUCUGA